CUCGAGAGUGGACUCUUGGUGUCCAUGGCAUCAAACUAACUCCAAUCUAAUUCCAAUUCUAACCUACACUACUGCACAUACUUUUGUGGAAAGUAAUGUUAGAAGAAUCUGGACUACCAUGCCCGGGCAGGGCUGGGGAUUGGCUGGGGUAGCCUUGGCUGAUGGACACGUGGGAACCUUGAUGGCCGGAGAAGCCCAGACCCCUAUCAGGCAGGCAGCCUGGGUGAGUGGGGGCUGAUUACCACCUCAAAAAGAUUUUCAGGUGAUGGGCUGCCCCCACCCUGGAGGCUAAGCAGGUGGCUGGGAACAGCCUGAGCUCCACGGGCCUGCAGGACCCGCGCAGCCAAAAGCCAGCUGCGGAGGUGUAACUGCGCAUGCUCGAGAGACCGGGGUCAGCGUAGCCGGGGACCUGGAACAGGGUCAUGCUCGUGAGGCCAGAUCACAGGGUGAGGGUGUUGGAGGUCCCUGGGGUCUGCCUAAUUCGAACCCCUAACCUGCGCGUAGACCGUCUCCCCUCGCAGGCAGAGCUGGAGGAGGCUGUGGUGCCUUGCUCGUGUUACAGGAGGGUGGGAGAGACAUUGGUCCUUGUCUCAUGGAGUCGAAAAUCUCGGGGACCACAGAGAGUGAAGAAAGCGAUAGAGUUUCUUGAGAGAAAGUAUAAAGCUCUCAAGAAUGAGACGGGGUCCCAACUGGGUUCCUGCCAAGGAUUUUUGUCCCUGACUUUUUAUUGGGACCUUAUCAGAAGAAGGUUUGUGAGAUUUCAUGCACGGCACCCAGCUCAGGGCUGGAUUUCACGAGCUGGCUGAUAGAUCUUCCAAGAAGAGACGCUUGGGAACCUUGAUUGCUGCAGAAGCCCGGGACACCAGCAAACGGUUCUUCAUUGCUGUCCCCCGUCAGAAGCCAGAUGGACUCCUAGGAGGUCACUCUUUGCCCAAAUUGUGAUAGGAGGUUGCCAAGACCAUAUGGAAGUAAUUUAAAUGGAAAUGAUCCCAGCAUGGCCUUGAAAGGCAUGUUUUGAUAAUAGCAGAACUUUGCCAAUCUAGUUCAGUGAACAGCCGUGUGAAAAAGGACAACCCCACCAAGGUAUUUACCAGUAGAGUACUUUUAUGUGAACAUACAUGAAGAACGAAACAAAACAUAACUUACGUGGUGUUUGAGCCCUUAUGUGUUUUGGGCCUACUCAUUAUAGCAAAUAGGCUAUCCUAAUUAAUACAUUCUGAAAAUGAAUAUUCUGGAUAAGCAAACUAGUUUAGGUAAGAUCCAUGAGUAAGUCUAUGAGAGGAAAAUCAUUGUAACUAGGAAAAAUAAUUCAUCUUUACUGAUUCCUUAUUUUGAUGUUUUCCCUCAGGUUUUAUCAGACUCUUUUGGGGCUUCUGUUACAUUUUAGGUCAACAAUGAUAGAAUGAUGUUUAAAUAUUCUAUAUACAUAAAAUAUAGAAUGUACAUUUAAGUAUGAGAAUGGUAUACAUGUUUUCAAAGAAUUGUUCUCAAAGAAUUCAACAUGCCUGAGCUUGUAUUUAGCUGGACAUGUUCUAUGAACAAGAGGAAUGUGUUUAUUAAUUCUCAAGAGUAUUAUUUUAAUUAUGAAUAUUAUUUUAUUAUUUAAUUAAUAUUAUUUUAAUUAUGGAAAAAAGUGGAGAUAGUCCAGCUCUCAGCAUGCCUCCUUGACCCAUGAGGUAUUUUUUUAGGCAGCCAUGCUUUCCUGGUCACUUUGACAGUAUUUAAUUUUAAAAAUUAGGUCUUUUGGGGAUGCCUGGGUGGCUCAGUUGGUUGAGUGCCUGACUCUUGGUUUUGGCUCAGAUAG